GUAAGUGACGUUGUGGUUUUUUGAAAGAAAAAAAAACUAUCCACGUAUAACUUUAUUGAUCACAUACAUAAGCAUCGAAAAUUAUAUUCCACAUCAUCUAAGUUUUAUUCCAUAUCAUCUAAAAACUAAACUCUAAAAUCUAAUCACUAAACCCUAACCCAAAUAUAAACCCUAAACUCAUAUAUCAAAAUCUAAAAAAUACAUAAUGUUAUGUAAUAUUAAAUUAUAUUAUGUAAUAAUAUGUCAAUUCUAUAUUACUAAAAUUAAAACACAUGAUAUGAAAGUUCAGAAAUAUUCUAUUCCAUAUCCAAACAGAAUAGAAACAAGUAAUGAUUUCCCAAUGGUGAACCCAAUAUUCCAGAAACUAAACCCUAUCCAAUCAUCACUAAACCUUACACGAAAAUAUAAAACCCAACCUAUAUAUCAAAAUACGUAAGUUUUAAAUUUUUAUGAAUUGAGAAGCAAAAUAAGGUGAUAUUAAACGUUCCAAUUUAUUCCA
rnacentral:lncRNA from 1 species